rnacentral:rRNA from 1 species
CCUACGGGAGGCAGCAGUGAGGAAUAUUGGUCAAUGGCCGGAAGGCUGAACCAGCCAUGCCGCGUGAAGGUCAAUGCCCUUUGGGCGUUAAACUUCUUUUGUGCGGGAGCAAUAAUGGUCACGUGUGGCCAGACUAAAGUACCGUACGAAUAAGCAUCGGCUAACUUCGUUCCCGCAGCCGCGGUAAAUCUGGAGGUGGAAGCGUUAUUCCGAAUUAUUGGGUUUAAAGGGUGCCGUAGCUGUUAGGUAAGUUAGUGGGGGAAUGCCCGCGGUCAACGGUGGGAAGUGCCGUUGAUACUGCCUGGCUGGAAUGCGGAUGAGGUGGGAGGAAUGUGUGGUGUAGCGGUGAAAUGCAUAGAUAGCACACAGAACACCGAUUGCGAAGGCAUCUAACGAAUCCGCGAUUGACGCUGAUGCACGAAAGCGUGGGUAUCAAACAGGAUUAGAUACCCGAGUAGUC